rnacentral:rRNA from 1 species
CUCAGGAUGAACGCUGGCGGCGUGCCUAAUACAUGCAAGUCGAGCGAACAGAUGAGAAGCUUGCUUCUCUGAUGUUAGCGGCGGACGGGUGAGUAACACGUGGGUAACCUACCUAUAAGACUGGGAUAACUCCGGGAAACCGGGGCUAAUACCGGAUAAUAUUUUGAACCGCAUGGUUCAAUAGUGAAAGACGGUUUCGGCUGUCACUUAUAGAUGGACCCGCGCCGUAUUAGCUAGUUGGUAAGGUAACGGCUUACCAAGGCGACGAUACGUAGCCGACCUGAGAGGGUGAUCGGCCACACUGGAACUGAGACACGGUCCAGACUCCUACGGGAGGCAGCAGUAGGGAAUCUUCCGCAAUGGGCGAAAGCCUGACGGAGCAACGCCGCGUGAGUGAUGAAGGUCUUCGGAUCGUAAAACUCUGUUGUUAGGGAAGAACAAAUUUGUUAGUAACUGAACAAGUCUUGACGGUAC